AGGGCUAUAGCUCAGUUCGGUAGAGCAACUCGUUUACACACCGAGAAGGUCUACGGUUCGAAU
rnacentral:tRNA from 1 species